GAUAUCUGGUCAGAUACACUCAGCCCAUCCCAGUUUUGGGAUUGUGUGCAGAGUGGCAUCGACCAUCCUUCUAGUACAAAAAGGCACAGAUUCGCAAGAGUUUGCAUCUUUUCGACUAGAUCUUUUACUUUGAAAAAAUUAGAGUGUUUAAAGCAGGCUUUUGCUAUGAAUACAUUAGCAUGGAAUAAUAAUCUAGGACUUCGGUUCUAUUUUGUUGGUUUCUAUAACUGAAGUAAUGAUUGAUAGGGAUAGUUGGGGGUGCUAGUAUUGGCCGGCCAGAGGUGAAAUUCUUGGAUUCGGUCAAGACUAACUUAUGCGAAAGCAUU
rnacentral:rRNA from 1 species